CAAAAUUCAAAAUCAAUUGAAACAAUUAAAGGUACUGAUUGGCUCCGCCACCAUGUAUUACAUACCCUUAAAACCCAACAUACGUGGGUGAAAAUCAAACCUGGGUUUUGAAACUCAAACUCACACCAAUACAUUCUCCUCUCUAUCUCUCCUAAAUCAAGAAGUAGAUAAUGUUUAAUGGCUUGAUUUGAAGAUGUUUAGGUGAUUCUCAGAUUCGUAUGAAUUCAUCCGGGACCCUUCAACACUUGUUUCUGGCUAGAUCACAUUCAUGGAGGUAUAAUAUGCCACUACAAUAGAUUCGACUUUUGAAGUCAAGAAAUAUAGGGCUUGGGUUGGGGCGUGGCUUGGCAGUUUAUUAAAAAAAAAAGCGAAUAGGACAUGGCCAACACAGCGAAUAGGAGCCAGCCAUAUAGGAUUGCUAGCCCACCCCACGCCCGACUUCAAACUCCCGCCCCUUGGGCCACGCCCCAACCCAAGCACCCGGGGUGGUGGCUUGGGCGUUUUCAGCCAAUAUCUAAGAAAGUUGAAGUAUGUCUACUUAGUGACUAUUUUAACACUUUUAUGCUACUUUUUGUAUUACUCUGCAUCAUGAGCUACGGUAAAGCAAUCACAUAUUACUAAAAGGCUCUUGCAUUAUCAACAAGAUGCUUAAGCAUGUAUGCUGGCUUGGCAUAUACGUAUCACUUGCAGGUAACUUGGACGUUUACAUUAUGGCUAAAGUUAUGUGCUGGAAGGCUGAUGUGGACACGAGCUUUUAGGUAAAACGGGUCAGGCAACAAUUGGAAAGACAACUGGAUAUGAAAACCCCAGAGAACGAUUUAUCCAGGAUAUUCCAACAGUUGUGGCAUAGAGGGAGAGUGUAACACCUCGAAAUUUUGUGUCCAAUAAUGUGUUAACACGUGUCAUGAGUUUACACGUGGCAUUAAAUAUUAAAUAAAGGACU